CGCAGAGUAGGAAUACACAUACUAAUCAAGGAUCGCCUACGCGUCGUUGCAUCGCACGAGGCGUUCGAUCACAGUUCUCCUGUCCACUGACCACCUCCGCCUCUCCCCAUCCCUCUUCCCUCCCCUCGUAGUUCACAUAAACGCUUUCAACAACGCUCGCGCGAGUCGAUCAUGUCGAGAACGCUGUACACGCUGUACGAGGCGCCGACAGGCUACGCCAUCUUCAAGGUUCGCACGACCGAGGAAAUCGGCGCCGAGGAUGUCGCGCUGCAGAAAGAGCUGCAGAGCUUCAGCACCUUUUCACCGUGGGUGAAGCUCGUGUCUUUUGCACCCUUCGAGUCGCCUGAGAACGCGCUCGAGGACGCGGUUUGCAUCUCCGAGAACCUGAUCAGCACCUUCCUCAACAACUUCCUCACCGCCGCCUUCGCGAAGAAGGUCGCCAAGAACGAGGCGAACUGGGAGCUCGGCGUGCAGGAUCCGAAACUGGGCAGCGCCAUCCACGACGAGCUCAACAUCCCCGUCUUGUGCAAUGAGACCGUAGCCGAGAUUAGUCGCUGCAUCCGCCUCCACGCUGAGAAGCUGCUGCCGGAGCACAACGAGGGCGAUGUGCCGCGCGCGCAGUGCGGUCUCGGUCAUGCGUUCUCGCGUAACAAGGUCAAGUUUAACGUGCACCGCAGCGAUAACAUGAUCAUCCAGGCCUCGGCGCUGAUGGAGCACAUGGACAAGGGUGUGAACCUGCUGGGCAUGCGGGUGAAGGAGUGGUAUGGCUGGCACUUCCCCGAGCUGGCCAAGGAGGUUCCGGAGCCGCUCAAGUACGCCAAUGUGGCGUUGCUAAUCGGUAACCGCAACUCACUGGAGGCGGUGCCGGAGGAGGAUGUGAAGGCGCAGCUGGGCGACAUCCUCGAGGGCGACGAGGCGCUCGCGGCGCGCGUGUACGAGAAGGCGGUAACGUCGAUGGGCGGCGACAUGGCGGAGGUGGACUGGGACUGCAUCCGCACUUUUGCGAAGCGUGUCGCAUCGCUGGGGCAGUAUCGUGUUGCCCUGGCGCAGUACCUCGUGGACAAGAUGAUGCUGGUGGCCCCAAACCUGACGCAGCUGAUGGGGCAGACCAUUGGCGCGAAGCUCAUCUCCAAGGCCGGCUCUCUUACAAACCUCGCCAAGUCCCCUGCCAGCACGAUCCAGAUCCUGGGUGCCGAGAAGGCGCUGUUCCGCGCCCUCAAGAAGAAGAAGGGCAACACCCCCAAGUACGGCCUCAUCUUCCACUCGUCUUUUAUCCAGCGCGCGUCAAAGGAGAACCGGGGCAAGAUCUCGCGCUACCUCGCCAACAAGGCCGCGCUCGCGUGCCGCAUCGACUGCUUUAUGGACGCCCCGCCGACAGUGUUUGGUGAGAAGCUGCGCGAGCAGGUCGAGGCCCGCCUGAACUUCUUUGACACUGGCAACAAGCCCCCGAGCAACAAGGCCGCGAUGGCUGAGGCGCUGGAGCAGUACCAGCGCAUCCUCCGUAAGCGUGACCGCAAGCAGGCGGACGAGGACGCCGAGGAGACUCCGAAGAAGAAGAGCCGCAAGGUCGUGGCCGCCUCUGAGUCCGAGUAAGGUAGCGCAGUGCGCACGGGAGCGUAAAAGCGAUACGCCCUGCGGCGCGUCCCUUUCGCCCCUGUCGUUAUCUCCCGUGGCGCCAUAUGUGUGUGCGUGUGUGUGUGUGUGCUUGUGUUUUGUUUUCAUGCUAAGUCGACUUCCGUCAGCGUGGGUGUCCUUGAGACGUACUCACGCACCCGUGGAGGGCGAGCGCGGGCCCCGAGAUGUUUGCGUAGGCACCGCGUGUGCGUGGCUGACGUGCGGAGACGACAACGAUAACUAAAAUACAGCUUAGCGAUGAAGAGAAGGUUAAAGGAAAGAGAAAGCGCUGUCUCCAUUAUUCUCUUCUCACUAAGACGUGUGUGCGCGCGCCUGUGUGCGGUACAUGCACAUGCGCACACUCCGUCGGGCGCCGCUUUCCUUUCCGUUCUUUCCUGUCUACGUUUCUGGCAGCUCGGCGUUAAAAAGAAAUAGAGACGCUCCAGACAACUCCCCCGCUUGCCACCCCGCCAGCUCCCAGAGGGGGGAGCGCAGCAGGUGCGUUGCGCGCGUCAGCGUGGGCGUCCUCCUGCACGCUGUGCUCCUUCGCUUCUUCAUUACUC
rnacentral:misc_RNA from 1 species